rnacentral:rRNA from 3 species
AGAGUUUGAUCAUGGCUCAGAGUGAACGCUGGCGGCGUGCCUAACACAUGCAAGUCGGACGGGUCCCGGGUAGCAAUAUCUGGGAUCAGUGGCGAACGGGUGAGUAACACGUGGGUAACCUGCCCUCGAGUGGGGAAUAAGCUCCCGAAAGGGGGUCUAAUACCGCAUAACGUUUCAUGGCGAUGGUCAUGAAACCAAAGCCCAAAAGGCGCUCGAGGAGGGGCCUGCGUCCUAUCAGCUAGUUGGUAGGGUAAUGGCCUACCAAGGCUACGACGGGUAGCCGGCCUGAGAGGGUGUCCGGCCACACUGGGACUGAGACACGGCCCAGACUCCUACGGGAGGCAGCAGUGGGGAAUUUUGCGCAAUGGGGGAAACCCUGACGCAGCGACGCCGCGUGGAGGAUGACGGCCUUCGGGUUGUAAACUCCUGUCAGAGGGGACGAAAUCCCGCAAGGGACUGACGGUACCCUCAGAGGAAGCCCCGGCUAACUACGUGCCAGCAGCCGCGGUAAUACGUAGGGGGCAAGCGUUACUCGGAAUUACUGGGCGUAAAGGGUGAGUAGGCGGCUGGGCAAGUCAAGGAUGAAAUCCCGAGGCUCAACUUCGGAACUGUCCUUGAAACUGCUCAGCUUGAGGGUAGUUGAGGAGAGCGGAAUUCCCGGUGGAGCGGUGAAAUGCGUAGAUAUCGGGAGGAACACCUGAGGCGAAGGCGGCUCUCUAAGCUACUCCUGACGCUGAAUCACGAAAGCUAGGGGAGCAAACGGGAUUAGAUACCCCGGUAGUCCUAGCCGUAAACGAUGGACACUAGAUAUUCCGGCGUUUUCGCUGGAGUGUCGUAGCUAACGCGUUAAGUGUCCCGCCUGGGGAGUACGGUCGCAAGGCUGAAACUCAAAUGAAUUGACGG